GUUCUUGGUAGUAACCAGGUCAGUGAUAAAUUGGGUCUUACCACACUACAGACCACCUGUUCUUCAGAUUUUUAGGUAAGCAAGUAUGGUCCCUCUAACACAGUGUUACUGUGUUUGUCUUUUUCAGGCUUCCCAAAAGUUGUUUGAUAGUAUACAGGCAUGAGAUGGUGUGACUCUAACUCAUUAGAUGCCUUCGUCUUUUCAGUCAUCAUGUGAUGGAAAGAAAGCUAUCAACUUCAUUCCUGAGACUUCCUGCAACACAGGAGCAGCAGGACAUCUGGGGAUGAGAAGAUGGAGAGAUCAUCCUUAUAUAAUGUUGCAGUCUGGAAGCAUCACUCUCAAAAAGCCAUUGUAGAGAAUCCAAGCCGAGUUUAAGAGUGCUGUGGAAAUACACUGCUGCUACUGCUGUUUCUAUUACUGUUUGAUGCUGGGACUCUUAUGCUCCAACCACGUUUUCACCCAGCUGAGUCGCCUUCGUAUCACGCCUUUCCAGUUUUGAUAGACUAGAAAAAUGACAAGACUCCAAGUCCUUGAAGAGGAGGAAAAGUGUGAAGAAAACAAAAAAGGGAGAUUUAUGUCUGCUUCACCAUUUUGCCCAAGACUUGACCUGUCAUACACUGAAGCUCAGAGAGGAAGAAAGGACCGUGUGAGAGAAGAAGGGAACAGCCUUUCAUCCAUAGGAGAAGUUCGUCUAUGACAAAGCCACUAGCUCCAUGUGGCCGCUGAGCACUCAAAAUGUGGCCAGUCUGAAUUGAGAUAUGUUGUUAGUAUAAAGUCCACAUCGGCUUUUUGAGCACUUUGUAUGAGAAAAAAGAAUACCAAAUAUCUCCUUAAUAAUUGUUACAUUGAUUAUAUGUUGAACUGAUAACAUUAUGGAUAUAUUGGAUUAAAUAAAAUAAAUUAUUAAAAUCAAAUAAAAAAUAAAA
ensembl:lncRNA LINC01203 long intergenic non-protein coding RNA 1203